AGACAGAGGUGGCGAGCGUUGUUCGGAGUUACUGGGCGUAAAGCGCACGUAGGCGGUUGGGUUAGUCCUAUGUAAAAUCCCCCUGCUUAACAGGGGAACGCCGUAGGUGACUGCCCGGCUAGAGGACGGGAGAGGAGAGCGGAAUUCCCGGUGGAGCGGUGAAAUGCGUAGAUAUCGGGAGGAAGGCCGGUGGCGAAGGCAGCCAACUGGCCUGGUACUGACACUCAGGGACGAAAGCGUGGGGAGCAAACCGGAGUAGAAACCCCGGUAGUCC
rnacentral:rRNA from 1 species